rnacentral:rRNA from 1 species
AAAACUUUCAGCAACGGAUCUCUUGGUUCUGGCAUCGAUGAAAAACGCAGCGAAAUGCGAUAAGUAAUGUGAAUUGCAAAAUUCAGUGAAUCAUCGAAUCUUUGAACGCACAUUGCGCCCGCCAGUAUUCUGGCAGGCAUGCCUGUUCGAGCGUCAUU